GCUCCCUCAUCCCAUGCAGAGCCGUUCCAUUCCCAGACGGUAAUAUCAUCUACUACUUCAUACUGUUUGUUCAAGCAAACUUUGAGAGGUUUCAUUCCAGGUGCUUUCAACACUGUAAAAUGAAAAAAGAGACACUAUUUAUUAACUAAACAAAGAAGAAGAAAAAAGAAAAUCAUGAUAAUGGAGAAUAUGCAAAUCAAAAGGCCAUCCAUGUUUCAACUACUGCAAUGUGUGUCGCAACAACUGCGACAAUCGCAAAUUGCAACACCCGUAACCGCAAUUGUGCCUGCGACCAUUAUUUAUUUAAGUAAAAACAAGAAACAUAGGUGUUAAUAAAUAAAAUAUAUAAACACAGAAUAUGAUAUAUUAUGGUGGAGCAUAAGAAAAAUGAAGUAUACCCAUAAAGGAAUGAAUGGUAGGUUCCCAAUGUUCAAGAAAAGCUUCAUGUGGAAGUUCAACCUCAACCAAAGCAAGCUUUGGUUCAACUCUUUGCGUGCAUGCCCUCCCUUUUGAAUUCACAACCACCCACUGGCGAUCCCAUCGAAAUCCUAACAAGUAAAAUAUUGAAUAAAAAAGUUUCAAAUAAAUUAAAAUAGAAAAUCAUAAGAAGGAAUAUAUGGUACCAAAAGGAGUGAGAGGAGCAUGAGGAAGAGAAAUUCCACGGCAUGAUUUAAUUGGAUAGGUGAAAAUGCCAGUAAUUUUCACUUCAGGUGAUGCUAAUUCUGUUGCAAAAGAUGGUGUAACUGUUGCAGCGCCCAUUGUUGUUUCUUGUUCUCUCUUUCUCUUUGUUGCUUUGUUUAUAAAUAGACUCAGUUCAAUGCAAAAAUGCAAUGAACUGAACCAAAACUUUGAACUUUACACUAAGAGCCACUAAGAGCCACGUCACACUUUACAACAAUCUAACCACACUUUCUUUAAUAAAUUACUAACCUCUUGCUAAAUAUUUUUGGAUCCUGAAAUGAUUUUGAACAUCCAUUUGUCUAUAAAUUAUAAUAAAAUUAAAAAUAAAAAAAAAUAAAAAAAUAAUACUAAAUUUAAGUUAAAAUAAUUUAGAGGUGACAAUUGGAUGUAUUAAAGACAAAAUUUAUCUCAUACAUCUAUUAAAAAUCUAUCAAAUUCAUUCACUAUAAUAAAAGUUAAGUUAAUGAAGUAAGUACAUUUAUAUGUAUGGAUUAAUACAAUCUCACCAACACAUUUUAAUAAUUUAAUGGAUUUUUUUCAUUAUAUUUUUCAAAAAAUUUAAUUAAAAUAUGAAAUUUUUUCAAAAAAAAAAAUGAAAAAAAAAUAUCAAAACAAUUAAAAAUGAAAAAAAAAAUUAAAAUACAAAAGUAGAUUUUUUUAAAAACACAAAAAAACGAUUUUUUUAUAAAAAAUAUUAUUUCUUUUUGAAAAAAUAUCAAAAGUCAAUUUUUUACGAAAACAAAACUUUUUUUUUCAAAAAUACAAAAAAUUAUGUUUUCCUGAAGAAUCCAAAAGAAUCCGAUCCCCCCCCCCCCCCCCCAAAUUUCUGAAAACUAAAAAAAUGAUUUUUUUUAAAAAAGUGAUAUUUUCAAAAAUAAAAUAAUCAAUUAUUUUCAAAAUAAAAAAAAAGUAUUUAAAUUUUUUUGGAUGGAUGAAUAUCAUCACUAAAAAUAUGAUAGAACGAAUUUGAUGGAUUUUAUUCUUAAUGGAUGGAUUAAUAUGAAUAUUUUUUUAAAAAAAUUAAUGAAUAUUAAUGGACUAAUGGAUUAUUUAAUUAAUUAUUAACGAUCUAAUCCAUCUAUUUUUUCACACCUAUAAAACAUUAAUAUUCAUAGAAGAUAAAAUGUAAAUAAAUUAUAAAUAAUAUAUUAAAAAUAAAAACUAUUGUCGUAUAAUUUUAAAAAAUAAAACAAUUAUUUUAUAAGUUAAGACAAAAUUUAAAAUAUCUAUUCAAUAUUUUUUUAAUAAACUUAAUUAAUUUUUUUACAUAUUUGAAAAAAAUAGUCGAUAACUUUCUAUUAUUUAAUAUUUGGAUAAUAUUUUAUCUUUUCUAUUUAUAUAAUUUUUACAAUAUAAAAAUAAUUUAUUAAAGUUUUUGACUCACUAUAUAUUGGAUCAAUUAUUUAUUUUUUCCAUUUCAUAUAAUUUCACAGUAUAAAAGAAUAAUUACUUAUUAAAAUUUUAUUCAUAUAUUCUCGUUUAAUAAAUUCUACCGUAUAAAAGAUAAAAUUUAUUAAAUUUUAUUCGAUAUAUUGGAUCAAUAAUUUUAUUUUUUUCCAUUUCAUAUAAUUUCAGAAUAUCAACGAGCAUAAAGGUUAGGGAAAAACAUGGGUUAUAAAGUGUAAGCAGCAAUGGUUGCAAAAAUGUUAUAGGCAGAAAAGGUUCCAAGAAUGUAUGGUUGGCUCAAUAUUGGAAAAGUCAAACCAAUAUUUACUGUCAUUAGUAGUAAAAGAAAAAGAAAAAGAAUAUUUGUAUUAAGAAAACAGAAUAUUUUAUAAAAUAGGUUGGUUACCACAAAAUUGUAUCCAUACACUUGAUNUCAUCCCAUGCAGAGCCGUUCCAUUCCCAGACGGUAAUAUCAUCUACUACUUCAUACUGUUUGUUCAAGCAAACUUUGAGAGGUUUCAUUCCAGGUGCUUUCAACACUGUAAAAUGAAAAAAGAGACACUAUUUAUAACUAAACAAAGAAGAAGAAAAAAGAAAAUCAUGAUAAUGGAGAAUAUGCAAAUCAAAAG
rnacentral:lncRNA from 1 species